UUGUUGUCGAAAAAUUUUUCAAAAAUCAAAAUUUUUGGUUUGUUUUUUUUACUAAUCGUGCUUUUUUGAAAAAUCAAGACAAAAGUUAGUUAGUCAUAAUUGGCGCAAUGGAUCCAUCUGACCCCGAUAGAGCCUUUCAUAUACCUCUGCAUGAUGCAAUAAGCGUUUUCUACAAUGGCAAUUUUGGUCGUGCAUUGUUACCAUCGCAAAAUAUCAGCAACUACCUUAUGAUAAUAAUAUCGCAUGCUGCCGAGCCGGAGCUGCGUGAGGUUAGCAUUUUUGAAAGAAGCAUGCAUGUUCCCCAGCUAAUUCAGAGCAUAAGAUGCCGGCAGCUAGAUAUUGAUUUAUUUUUGCGUCUCAACCACUUCCCAGCGGCCACCGUGGUUCAUAACCACGGAUACAUUCCACAACCGAUUAUACUUCAGAUGGCUCAAACAAUCAAUAACGGAGGCCUCCCGCAUAAUUUACAUUAAAAAAAGAAGAACGACAGGGAGUAGAGGGUGGGUCAAGACAUUGAAACAUAUGUCUCAUGAUAAGUUGGACAUGCGAAACUAACCGCAAGUAUAUGUGUGUCGUUCCUUUCAAAAAAAAAGAAAAUGUAAACAUUUAAGAGGAUUGUUACAAUAAGUAAAAUGACACCUAGCAUUGUGUUUUCAAAAGCUUGCAAUGCACCUUUUGCAACAAUGACUGAAUAUCGGAUCUCUCAUUUGGUGUUAUUUGACUUUCAGCAGAAUCUUAAGGUAAUGAGUUGAAGGAUCAACAUCUGAACAUUUGGCUUACGAAUUUUUUGAACCAUCAUCCACAACAUGCUGCAGGUCUGUGUUGGUACUGCUAUAAAGUGUGAUUAUUUGGAAACAACAUUUUUCCGGAAGUAAACAAUAUGUUCCUUUACAUAUAAGUACUUUGAUGGCAUCUGAGCUAUUUAAACAUCGUCACUUAAGCCAUGACGAGGCUAUGAUGUCUAAUAUAUAGUGGACCAACCAAGGGCAAUUCAAGACCAUAAUCGAAUUUAAAAUUACAAGCCCAUAUUACUUCGGAACUAUGGAAGGACCUACAGCAAAUCAACAUGAAUGGCAUAUGGUAUAUGAUAUGCUCCUGAGGUUAAUAUGUGUGGAUUUAAUACAAGACAUAUGAGUACGCUCAUUACAAUUUUUUGUUUUAAAUCCCAUCUCAUUCGGGAAUAUGGAAGAACCUACAGCAAAUCAACAUGAAUGGCAUGUGUUAUAUGGUAUAUGAUAUGCUCCAGAGGUUUUCCCAUCUUAUUCGGGAAUAUGGAAGGACCUACAGCAAAUCAAUAUGAAUGGUAUAUGUUAUAUGGUAUAUAAUAUGCUCCAGAGGUUUAUAUAUGUGGAUUUAAUGCAAGACAUAUGAGUACGCUUCUCACAAUUUUUUGUUUUAAGUCCCAUCUCAUUCGGGAAUAUGGAAGGACCUACAGCAAAUGAACAUAAAUGGUAUAUGUUAUAUGGUAUAUGAUAUGCUCCAGAGUCCCAUCUUAUUCGGGAAUAUGGAAGGACCUACAGCAAAUCAAUAUGAAUGGUAUAUGUUAUAUGGUAUAUAAUAUGCUCCAGAGGUUUAUAUAUGUGGAUUUAAUGCAAGACAUAUGAGUACGCUUCUCACAAUUUUUUGUUUUAAGUCCCAUCUCAUUCGGGAAUAUGGAAGGACCUACAGCAAAUGAACAUAAAUGGUAUAUGUUAUAUGGUAUAUGAUAUGCUCCAGAGGUUUAUAUGUGUGGAUUUAAUGCAAGAUAUAUGACUACGUUCAACACAAUUUUUUGUUUUAAAUCUCUCCAUGGCUUUAGAAUUAUUAAUAUAUUUGUUAUUGAUACAAAUUGGUUUUAUAAAACCAAUUGUUAGAUAUACUCACU